rnacentral:ncRNA from 1 species
AUGGCGGAACCCGAAAAGCCAGAAAAGAGUAGGGA